UGUCGGAGUAGAGCAGCCCGGUAGCUCGCCAGCCUCAUAAGCUGGAUGUCGCAGGUUCGAAUCCUGUCUCCGCAACCA
rnacentral:tRNA from 1 species